rnacentral:rRNA from 1 species
GACGAACGCUGGCGGCGUGCCUAAUACAUGCAAGUCGAGCGAGCUUGCCUAGAUGAAUUUGGUGCUUGCACCAAAUGAAACUAGAUACAAGCGAGCGGCGGACGGGUGAGUAACACGUGGGUAACCUGCCCAAGAGACUGGGAUAACACCUGGAAACAGAUGCUAAUACCGGAUAACAACACUAGACGCAUGUCUAGAGUUUAAAAGAUGGUUCUGCUAUCACUCUUGGAUGGACCUGCGGUGCAUUAGCUAGUUGGUAAGGUAACGGCUUACCAAGGCAAUGAUGCAUAGCCGAGUUGAGAGACUGAUCGGCCACAUUGGGACUGAGACACGGCCCAAACUCCUACGGGAGGCAGCAGUAGGGAAUCUUCCACAAUGGACGCAAGUCUGAUGGAGCAACGCCGCGUGAGUGAAGAAGGGUUUCGGCUCGUAAAGCUCUGUUGGUAGUGAAGAAAGAUAGAGGUAGUAACUGGCCUUUAUUGACG